rnacentral:sRNA from 1 species
AAUUCCUCAAAACUUUUUAGUUAAAUAAAAAACUUUUUUAAAAAUUUUUAAAAGCUUUUUACUUCAAAAUUACAAACCAGGAAACCUAAAAAUUAAGUGAUUUUGAAGUUUUCAAGCACGUCUUUUCCAAAAAAAGCAAAAUGGAUCAACAUUUAAUUCAUCUAUCUUCGUUAUGUGUAAGAGUAAAGUUUUAUCUAAAACAAGUCUAGGAGCUUUAUUUAUUUUGUGCGAUACAGCUUUAAGUGCUUGUUCCAAUGUCAAAUCAGAGAUAUACAGUUUGAUUAAAACAAUACUAACGAAGAUUUAAAUUGGUCUGAAGAAAUUGAAACAGAAACAGGCCAUACAAAUCUAGUUAAAUCUUUAAAAACUUCUUAUGAAAAGAUCCCGAUAAAACUACCAAAUGCAACAAUAGUUUUAAUUUGGAACACGGAGAAAUAAUUCUUUAUGGAACAUCAAGUUGGGAAUAUAUUGGUCAAAGUAAUGCGGACAGAGAAGAGUUUGAAAAUCAUUUCGAUGAUCGAAC